rnacentral:tRNA from 1 species
GGUCCCGUGGCUCAGUGGAAGAGCGCCCGCCUCACACGCGGGAGGUCGCUGGUUCGAACCCAGCCGGGACCACC